GUACUGGGGAGAAGCCCAACGCUGAAUCUUUCGAUAUGAAUAUCGUAAAGAAAUGUAGCGCAUUUGAAUGGUUGUCGGUUUGUUUAGCAUGUCCAAAGUCCCUUUGAUAGGGGCCAAAUUCCAGAGAGGGUGCGAGACCUGUGCGGAUAGUUGAACAUACCGUAUGAUUAUACCACGGAGUCGGGUUGCUUGAAAGUGCAGCCUCAAGUUGGUGAUAAACUUCAUCUAAGGCUAAAUAUGGACGCGAAUUCGAUAGCAAACAAGUACUGUGAAGGAAAGUUGCAAAGAACUUUGAAGAGAGAGUUCAAGAGAACGUGAAAUUGUUGAAGUAGAACCGGAGAGAGUUGACGUAGUCUGAUGGAUAAGUAAUAAAAGUAUCGCAUUCGUAUGUGAUCAUUAUAUUAUGUAAGCCAUCAACGACUGUGCUGACAGCAUCGAUUACACAGUCCGAACUAUGUUGACAUGUUGCCCAUUCUAUUUCAUASAAUGGUGUCUUGUGUCACAUGUUUCGUAAGGUUUGUUGUAUGUUGAUGUUGAUAUUAUAUUCUAUAAUUAUGUCAGCAUAAAAGUCAACCACCUCUCUGACCCGUCUUGAAACACGGACCGAGGAGUGUAACUUGUACGCGAGUCAUAAGGUGAAAAACCUUAAGGCGAAAUGAAAGUAAAGGCACGGUUAACCGGCUGACAUGGGAGACGUUUGAUCGAAUUUCUCGUACGAUACGUUGCACCAUGGCCCUGUCUUGUCUGCGUGCAGAUAGGCAGCGGUAGAGCGUAUAGGUUGCGACCCGAAAGAUGGUGAACUAUGCCUGAGCAGGACGAAGUCAGAGGAGACUCUGAUGGAAGUCCGCAUCGGUUCUGACGUGCAAAUCGAUCGAUAGA
rnacentral:rRNA from 1 species